rnacentral:lncRNA from 10 species
UAGGAGUUAAAGACAAAGAUUCAAGGACCCUGGAAGAGUCUCUCUGUCAAGGCAGUGCUGGCAUCUGCAGCAAGAUAGAGCUCCCUGCAGGGUGUCCCUGGUGAAAACUGCAGACAAGUGCUCUGAGGUGCUGCUGCAGUGGGCUCCUCACCAGACCAGUUCUGCAGCGUGGUUUGAGUGUUGUUCCUGGCUGCAAACCUGCUUCUCCAGCCCGCCUACUGAUUCUGGAAGCUGCCCAAAUAUCCUUUUAAUGAAUUCCUUUUCUGCCUAAAUCAUCUAGAGUCCAAUUCUGUUGCUUGCAAUCAAGGUUCUAGACUGAUACGCACCUGUAACUCCUUCAGGAAUUUGUCCUACUUCUGAGAAGUCCCAAAGGGCUUUGUCCCCAAGGACAGUUUCUAUGACAAAUCUACAAAGGGGAUUCUCUGUAAAUGCCCAUUCUGUUAUGAAUACUAAAAUUAGAGACCGUAAGGCUAGCCACCAUUGUUCCAUAGUAUCUAGUUUAGUACCAGCGAGCACAUAUGUUCUAAGCAAUGCUGGAAAGCCCCUUUCAAAUAACUUUUGCCUUGGCAAAAGACGUUGUAAUGCUUCUUGAAAUAGUUUCAUGAUGUCAUUUACGUAGUAGACCUGAUUUCUGCGAACACAUUAUUUUGAAAUGAGGAUUUAAAUUGUGCUUUGGCAGGAACUGAAUAUUCAAAUGUAAUGAGUUUAAUUGAUUAUGAGAAUGUUUCUUUUAAGAUGAUGCAAUAACUGCCUGGUAUUGAGCCUGCUGCUCCAGUGUGCACUAGUAGAAAGGCUUUCAAAAUUGAUCUUGGUACAUUUGAAAUCUGUCUCAGCUAGAAGGAUCUUGCUCUGAGGUGUGGAGAGAUUGGAGGUUCCUUCGGCUACUGCAACCUGGGCUCUCAUCCACUGAAAUCGGUGAAGUUCCUGUAGGACCUUCAAGACAAAAUUAAUCCAGUGUCAAGAUUCUCAUAUGUCCCACUUUCUAAGAGUUCAAAGAGUUAAUUGGGCACAUAAGAUUUUCCCAGCAUCAAUGACACAUGCACAAAAUUUAGAAGAAAACAACGCAAAAAAGCAAUCAGACAAAUCUCGUAAGUGGAACAGUCUGCAGAACUAUUGGCUUGGUAUCUUCAGCAAAGUGGUAUCAUUAAAAACUGGUGUCUGUUCUAGAUUAAAAGAGACUUAAGGGACAUAAACCAGAUGCAAUGCAUGGUCUGGAUUGGGUACUGAUUUGGAUGAAACAACUGUAUAGGACAUUUUUAGGUCAUUUGGGAAAAUAUGAAUAGAAGCAGGGUGUUAGAAGGGUUGGAAAUGUACUGAAAUAGCAAAAGGGAGGUUAAUGAUUGAAAAAAACAGACUGAAGAACAUUAUGUGUAGUAUGAUCUCAGUUUGGUAAUAAAAUAAAAGCAUGCAUAGACACACAUGAACAGAUCCUGUAGGUUAUACACUAAGGUCUUACAGUGGUGAUCUCUGGGAGGUGGAAAUUUUACUUAUUUAUUUAUUAUAUUUCUGCUUCUCUAUAUUUUCUAAUUUUCUACAAUGCAUAUAUACUGCUUCUGUAUUAAUAAAAGGUUAAUCAAAGAAAAAAAUUCUUGGAGGCCGGACAUGGCGGCUGACACCUGUAAUCCCAGCACUUUGGAAGUCCAAGGCAAGAGGAUCCCUUGAGGCCAGGACUAGGCAACAUAAUGAGACCCCAUCUCUACAAAAAAUUGAAAAAAUUAGCCAGACAUGGUGGCUUGCACCUGUAGUCCCAGCUACUCAGGAGGCUGAGGCAAGAGGAUCGCUUUAACCCAGGAGUUUGAGGCUGCAGUAUGAUCGUGCCACUGCAUUCCAGCCUGGGUGACAGAGUGAGACUCCACUUCAAAAAAGAAAUUUUUAAAUUCUUAGAAGUCACAAGCAGGGCCAGGCGCACUGGAUCACACCUGUAAUCCCAGCACUUUGGGAGGCCGAGGCAGGGGGAUCACUUGAACUCUGGAGUUUGAGACCAGCCUGGGCAACAUGGCAAAACCCUGUCUCUACAAAAAAAUACAAAAUUAGUCCGGCGUGGUGGCACACGUCUGUAGUCCCAGCUACUCAGGAGAGGCUGAGGUGGGAGGAUUGCUUGAACCCAGGAGGUACAGGCUGCAGUGAGUUGUGAUCGCCACUGCACUCCAGCCUGGGCAACAGAGGGAGACCCUGUCUCAAAAAAAAAAAAAAAGUAACAAGCAAACCUCAACCCCAAAGCAGUUAUUAUAAGUAAAAUUAUGGUACUAGAAACCAGUACAUAAAAUACUGUACUGGUAUAUCAGACCCACAUUGCUGACAGAAAGCAAAGCUUAUAGCAGAGACAAUGAUCUCUGGGGGAAAGAAGAAUAAACAUAGCAAACGUGAGAGCAAAAAACAACCUGCCUUGCUUUCAGCUUCAACAGGAGACAAGUUAAAUUGUGCUAGUUGUCUAGGGUCCACAAUCUCUUAAGCUUAAACUCUGCUGAGAUUUAUCUAGAGACUAAUUAUGGCACUUGGUUUACCAAACGGGAGUAGGGUGGAGUUCCAUGCAUGUUUACUGUUUCCUCCCUCAGAAGGUGACAUUUGCGACAUUCCUGUGUUCUUGAAAAGUUAGAUUUUCCUGGGGUGACACCCAUAGUCCUCAGGCCAUCCUCAAGGCUUCCUUCUUCAAAAUCCAGGCUAUUUGGCCAGGCGCGGUGGCUCACACCUGUAAUCCCAGCACUUUGGGAAGCCGAGGCGGGCGGAUCAUGAGGUCGGGAGUUCGAGACCAGCCUGGCCAAUAUGGUGAAACCCCAUCUCUACUAAAAAUACAAAAAUUAGCCGGGUGUGGUGGCGUGUGCCUGUAGUCUCAGCUACUAGGGAGGCUAAGGCAGAAGAAUCGCUUGAACCCAGCGGCUGGAAGUUGCAGUGAGCCGAGAUCGCACCACUGCACUCCAGCCUGGGUGACACAGCAAGACUCCGUAUUAAAAAAAAAAAAAAAAAAAAAAAAAAAAUCCAGGCUAUUUAAAACCUCUUAAAUCCCCAUUUUGAACCUGUGCUUCUGGCAUCUCAGCAUAGCCCUGAGGCUGCACUCAGUUUGGUGACACAGCUUUUCCACACUCUCCUGUGAGCAGCCACCUCCUUUUCGAAUAGUCAUGGCUCCGAGUGUGAUUCAGACCCUUGCUGUAUUAGUUUACUGUUGCUGCCAUAACAGAUUACCACAAACUUAGUGGCUUAAAACAUGCAUCUAUUAUGUUACAGGUCUGUAGGUCAGAAGUCCCACGCAGGUCUCACUGGGCUAUAAUUAAGGUGGGCUUCUUCUGUGAACAAAAGUUCUCUGAAAAGGAAUUUAGAGGAAAGAGACUUUAGUCCAGUGAACAGUUUGCAAACCUGGGUCACAGCCUCCAGUGUAAAAUGAAGGUGCAUUCCAGAGAACAAAAGGAAAGCUUAUUUUGUUGUUGUUGUUUGCUUGCAUGUUCGUUUUUCAGAGACACAGUUGCCCAGGCUGGAGUGCAGUGGUGUGAUCAUAGCUCACCGUAACCUGGAAUCCCUGGGCUCAAGUGAUCCUCCCACUUCAGCCUCCCAUGUAGCUGGGACUACAAAGGAAUGCCACCAUGCUCCAGUUUCAUAGUAAAAAUUCCUGCCCAAGUUCCCAAUAAGGCCUGUUUAUGCCAACGAAAGAUUGAAAGUCAGUUCUCAUUGGUUGAGGCAGCUGAGUUCUGAUUGGUCAAUACAGCCAAGCCCUGAUUGGUUGAUACAGCUGAGCCCUGAUUGGCUAAGGCAAGUGAGCUCUGAUUGGCUGGUUCUGAUGAGUUCUGAACGUCCCGAAGUUAAAAGAUGUGAGCUUCCGGUCGUGGUGGCUCACACCUAUAAUCCCAGCACUUUGGGAGGCCGAGGUGGGUGGAUCACCUGAGGUCAGUUUGAGAUCAGCCUGGCCAACAUGGUGAAACCCCAUCUCUACUGAAAAUACAAAAAUUAGCUGGGCAUGGUAGUGCAUGCCUUUAAUCCCAGCUACUCAGGAGGCUGAGACAGGAGAAUUGCUUGAACCCGGGAGGUGGAGGUUGCAGUGAGCCAAGAUCACACCACUGCACUCCAGCCUGGGCAACAGAGUGAGACUCCGUCUCUAAAUAAAUAAAUAAAUAAAUGUAUGACAUAUUUUACAAUGAUGCUCUUGGUCUUUCCUUCAUAAAUCUGUUCAAAUUUUAUGUACCACUUUAUAUGAUGGUAUGUAGUAGUUUCCUAUUGUGAAAGCCCACCUCUACUAAAAAUACAAAAAUUAGCCAGUUAGCCAAGCAUGGUGGCAGGCGCCUGUAAUCCCAGCUACUUGGGAGGCUGAGGCAGAAGACUUGCUUGAACCCAGGAGGCAGAGGUUGCAGUGAGAGGAGAUGGUGACACUGCACUCCAGCCUGGGCAACAGAGCAAGACUUUGUCUUAAAAAGAAAAAAAAAAGAUGUGAGCUUUCUGGAAACUCUGAGUAUAUGUGGGACCUCUAGUCAGCAAUGACUGCAAUGGCUCUAUUUUAAAUUUAGGCCCAGUUAGCCACUUGGGUUCCAUCUUGAAAAAUUGGCUCUUCCAGGUUCACAGUUCAUAGCUUCUUUCUGGAGUCACUAGGGGAGAAUACCCUUUGUGUUCAUUUGGGCUUUUUGGGAGAAUUCAGUUCUUUGCGGAUGUUGAACCAAGGUCACCAUUUUCUUCCUGCCUAUAAACUGAGGUCACCUACAUUCCUCGGCUUGUGGCCCCUCCUCCAUCUUCAAAGUCAGCAACCAUAGAGUCAGUCCUUCUCAUGUGAUUUCUCAAGUGAUCCACUCUUCUUCCAUCAUCUUCUACUUUUAAAGACUUGUAUGAUUACGCUGGGUUCACCCAGGAUAAUCUCCCCAUCUCAAGGUCCUUAACCUUAAUCACAUCUGCAGAUUCUCUUUGGCUAUGUAAAGUAAUAUAUUCACAAAUUCCAGGGAUUAGUACAUAACCAUCUUUGGGGGAUUGUCAUUGCAUUCUGGGCACAUCAUCUUUUCUUGGUCUGGGAUUGGCAUUUCUUCACAUCUAGUUUUGUGCCUCAGUGGUUACUGCCACUGUCUCUUGCUCUGGAAUUCCUUGAUUACAUAAAGCCUGCCUCUUAGUGGUGGUUUCCCCUCUACUUCCAAUAUAUUUUAUGUGACAAAUUGCCUUCAGUGGACUCCUAAAAUGACAUUCAGAAGCUUGUGCCCUUUGGUCCUGGGGAGGAAAAAUUUAUCUGCCUUGGGCUUGCCGCCCUUGCAAAAAGCCUUCGAAUUUUCUAGGCCUUAAGUGGAACUUCAACAACAGCAGUAACAGUUCUUUCUGUCCACUCUUGUAGCUCCCUUUCUCCUUUGGAGCAGGCUCAGCUGAAGUUUCCUCUUUCUUUUUAAUUGUGAGAAAUGUGAAAACUACAGAAAAAGUACAAGAAUAUUAUAAUAAAAACCCAUAUUCCCAUCUCCCAGAAUUGUAGACAUCUUGUCAUAUUUGCUUUCUGCAAUUAAAAAAAUCUUAGAAAUCUAGCUAAAAUUUUGUUUAGCUACCACCUGCAUUGCCAUGCUCGUCUGAGGCAACUGCUAUGGUCUGGAGUGUAGUCUCAUCCAUUUUUAUACUUUACAAACAUCCAUCCAUCCAUAAACUAUGUAUAGUAUUUUUGUGCAUAUCCAUUUACAUAAUUGUAUCUUUUUUUUAUUCAACGGCAUGCUUUUGAGACCUGUCCAUAUUGCUAUAUGUAGAUCUAGCACCACUUCAGUGCAGUGUUCCAUUGUAUGACAUCAUCAGAUUUUAUUUUUUCACAACAUUUUGACAAAUUGCUCUCUAAAGUGGUUGAACCAGUUGAUAUUUCUACCAGCAGUGUAGGAGUAUGCUUAUUUCCCCACAUUCUUCCCAAUGCUUUGGGGAGAUCUUUUUUUUCUUUUCUUUUUUUUUUUGAGAUGGAGUUUUGCUCUUAUUGCCCAG